GUUUAACAAAAACAUGUCUUUUUGAGUAUAAUUUAAAGUCUAGCCUGCCCAAUGAAUAUAAUUAAAUGGCCGCGGUAUAUUGACUGUGCAAAGGUAGCAUAAUCAUUAGUUUUUUAAUUGAAAGCUGGAAUGAAGGGUUGAAUGAAAAAAUAACUGUCUCUAUUUAAAUUAAUUAGAAUUUUAUUUUUAAGUUAAAAAGCUUAAAUAUUUAUAAAAGACGAGAAGACCCUAUAGAGUUUAAUAUUUUUUAAAAUUAAAAUAUUUGGUAUUUUUGAUUUUAUUUUUAAUAAAAUAUUUGGUUGGGGUGAUUGAAAAAUUUAUUUAACUUUUUUUUUAUAAUUACAUUAAUUUAUGAGUAUUUGAUCCUUAAAAUAAGAUUAUAAGAUUAAAUUACCUUAGGGAUAACAGCGUAAUUUUUUUUAAGAGUUCUAAUCGAAAAAAAAGAUUGCGACCUCGAUGUUGGAUUAAAA
rnacentral:rRNA from 1 species